rnacentral:rRNA from 1 species
UACGGUAGGGUGCAAGCGUUGUCCGGAAUUAUUGGGCGUAAAGAGCUUGUAGGCGGUUUGUCGCGUCUGCUGUGAAAUUUCGGGGCUCAACCCCGAACUUGCAGUGGGUACGGGCAGACUAGAGUGCGGUAGGGGAGGACUGGAAUUCCUGGUGUAGCGGUGAAAUGCGCAGAUAUCAGGAGGAACAGCCGGUGGCGAAGGCGGGUCUCUGGGCCGAUACUGACGCUGAGGAGCGAAAGCGGUGGGGAGCGAACAGG